UAGGGUUUGAUUCUGGCUCAGGAUGAACGCUAGCGGCAGGCUUAACACAUGCAAGUCGAGGGGUAACAGGAUAGCUUGCUAUUGCUGACGACCGGCGCACGGGUGCGUAACGCGUAUACAAUCUACCUUAUACUGGGGUAUAGCCUUUAGAAAUGAAGAUUAACCCCCCAUAGUCUCUUAGAGUGGCACCACUUUUGGAGUAAAGGUUACGGUAUAAGAUGAGUAUGCGUUCUAUUAGUUUGUUGGUGUGGUAACGGCACACCAAGACUGCGAUAGAUAGGGGCCCUGAGAGGGGGAUCCCCCACACUGGUACUGAGACACGGACCAGACUCCUACGGGAGGCAGCAGUGAGGAAUAUUGGACAAUGGAGGCAACUCUGAUCCAGCCAUGCCGCGUGCAGGAAGACUGCCCUAUGGGUUGUAAACUGCUUUUAUACAGGAAGAAACACCUCUACGUGUAGAGGCUUGACGGUACUGUAAGAAUAAGGAUCGGCUAACUCCGUGCCAGCCGCCGCGGUAAUUCA
rnacentral:rRNA from 1 species